rnacentral:lncRNA from 1 species
GAUCUCAGUUGGAGCCAUUUGAUGGUUUCUUUUUGAGCUCACUUUGCUUCCAAUUCAAUAAGAACUAAAAAUAAUAACAUGGGUAAUCUAAUUGCAGAUCAGUAGAUAUCCUGGCUGCUCUCAGUCUCAGAACAUGUAUCCCACGUACACUGGAUGCACACACGGUGCACGAGCUUUCUAGCAGCAGUAGCUUUUCACCUAGGACAAGGGUGACACUUGUGAACCAUAAAGCCUAUCAAUGUUACCCUGCCCAGUUGAUAUAGUGCAGAGGCUUUCUUAGAAUAAAUAACAAAUGUUGAUAUCUGUGAUUGCAUACCAUGGCCAAAGGGGGAAAAAAAUGUGAAAACCCUUAAACGCUCUGAAGAGAUCUUGGAUAAAAGAAAACAGGAAAUCAUUUGUAAUAUUAAAAAUAGAUUGCUUCCUGGAAGUAACAACCAUGAUGUUCUUGUUGACUUUUUUUUCAUGUUAAAUGUCACAUACAGAAGCAGAGCCAGUCAGCUCCUGCUCUUAUUUCGAAUUUUCCUGAAAUACAAAAUUUGUAAGGCUGUGAUGUGCAAGACUGACUUCAGAGUCCCCAGAGAAGCAUCUUAACCUUAAAUGUCAUAAAUACUGUCCCAUGGGCUUCAGAAACUGUGAGGCCAGUGAAAGGUGAUUUUUCUAAGCACAAUUCUUGCAGAGACAGAAACACUUAAAGUAUUGGCUGGAUUAAAAUCCAUGGUGAAAAACUCUUGAGUUUCAAUGAGGACAAAGUUUCGCACAAGAUGAUAUUCGUCACAGGGAGGAGGUUUAUAUGAGGGCAAAAAUCCUGUGAACUUCAGAGAAAACUGGUUCCCUG